GCCCACAAAACACAGCCCUAUAAAUUAAAGUAAUAAAAACAACUAAAUAUAACAGCAAAACAGUACAGAAAUGGAAACAACAAUAAAUAAAAGUAAAUUUUAACAACUGUACCUUGUGCAUUAUGGUUUUACAAGAAAAUAAUUAAAGACUGCAAUCCCGAAUUCUAAAUGAGAUGUUAAACUGCUGCUACGAACCCAUUAAUAACUGUUGAAAAAGUUUUAAAAGACAGUUUAACAGAGGCUACAUACCAUCCGCAUAAGAAUAUAGCUGGUUUUCAACGAACAUUAUAAAUUAAAACAUAUAAUAAAUAUUAUAGUGUAAAGUUAUUGAGGAUAAGCCCAAUAACAUAGGCAAUACCAUAUAAAUCAAUUUUAUUAUCUAGGCCUAAAAUCAGCCAAUAAAAGUACUUUACCGUAUAUAACACUGAUAAAAUUUAUAUAUUAAAAUAUGCAAAAAAAAGUUGAAAUAGAGAAUAAAUAAGCCCAUCUCUUAUACUAUGUAAAAAUGAGUAUUCUGACAUAUUACAGUAAUAAAUAACUAGUAAUCAACAACAUAUAAUACACUAAUAAUUAAUUAAGGAACUCGGCAAAUUAUUAUUUCGACUGUUUAACAAAAACAUUGUCUCAUGAAUAAAAUAUGAGGUAAUACCUGCCCAGUGACAUUCUGUUUAACGGCCGCGGUAUCCUAACCGUGCAAAGGUAGCAUAAUCACUUGCCUAUUAAUUGUAGGCUAGUAUGAAAGGGUUAACGAAAUAAAAACUGUCUCAAUUAACCACCUAAAAACUAUUCUCUACCUGAAGAUAGGUAGAUAUUCUCGAAGGACAAGAAGACCCUAUAGAGCUUAAUUUUAAUUAUGGACUUCAAGCUAUAACAAUAUUCGGUUGGGGCGACCCUGGGCUAAUUUAUCACCCACAAAAAAAAAGAUAUAUAAAUCAAAUAAAUGACCCUCAUAGAUCACAAGACCAAGCUACCUUAGGGAUAACAGGCUAAUCCCACUCAAGAGUCCUUAUCAACAGUGGGGUUUGGCACCUCGAUGUUGGCUUAGGGUAUCUAUAUAGCGCAAAAGUUAUAUAAAGAUGGUUUGUUCAACCAAUAAUUCCCUACAUGAGCUGAGUUCAGACCGGCGUAAGCCAGGUUAGCUUCUAUCCUCGACCAAAUACUCUAUUCCCAGUACGAAAGGACCUGAAUAGAAUAAUAAUUUAUAGAAAAGAAUACAUAUAAUACAAUAUUAAUAAUAAGAAAUAUACACUAUG
rnacentral:rRNA from 1 species